AUCAUUUGUGACACAUUCAACAAUUCAGUUUACAUUAAAUUUUUUUUUCGUGUUAAAUUCUCUAAAGAAUCGGAAAAAAUAACACACUCUGUCUCCUAAACUACAAUAGUGUAACAUAUAAGCACAAAUAAGUAACAGAGCGCUACAAUAUCGUAAUAAAAUAUCAACAGAACGCGUUUCAUCUGUAUAAGUGACGGUCACAACACAGUUCGUUAAAAAUGAAUAGAUUGUAUUUUAUAAUUUUUGUUUUCGCGCUUAUAGCAUCGGUGAUGGCAUUAGAUUCCCGUUGUUUUGAGCCAAUAGUCACAGGACCAUGCCGGGCUUCGCAAACCAAAUACGCGUUCACCGGUAGAGGAUGCGACACCUUCGUCUAUGGGGGCUGCCAAGGGAGCGGCAACAACUUUGACACCAUAGAGGAGUGCGUGAAGGCGUGCGCAUGAUUCCCAGCUUCGAUUCCCGGCUCAAAAUUUGGUAGUUGACACCACCAAUCACAUGUAGCACCCACAUACAGUCAGCGCAAAUCGUUCGUGACACCCAAGUGGCCAAAAAGUUGACAACAUAAACUUAUUCCAAUGAGGGUUUUCGCGAAUGAAAAAUCCGCCAGAUGGCAAUACGUAGACUCGAGGUCCAAAUGCUGC